GAUGAACGCUGGCAGCGUGCCUAAUACAUGCAAGUCGAGCGAACGGACGAGAAGCUUGCUUUUCUGAUGUUAGCGGCGGACGGGUGAGUAACACGUGGAUAACCUACCUAUAAGACUGGGAUAACUUCGGGAAACCGGAGCUAAUACCGGAUAAUAUUUUGAACCGCAUGGUUCAAAAGUGAAAGACGGUCUUGCUGUCACUUAUAGAUGGAUCCGCGCUGCAUUAGCUAGUUGGUAAGGUAACGGCUUACCAAGGCAACGAUGCAUAGCCGACCUGAGAGGGUGAUCGGCCACACUGGAACUGAGACACGGUCCAGACUCCUACGGGAGGCAGCAGUAGGGAAUCUUCCGCAAUGGGCGAAAGCCUGACGGAGCAACGCCGCGUGAGUGAUGAAGGUCUUCGGAUCGUAAAACUCUGUUAUUAGGGAAGAACAUAUGUGUAAGUAACUGUGCACAUCUGGACGGUACCUAAGCAGAAAGCCACGGCUAACUACGU
rnacentral:rRNA from 1 species